CUUUGAACGGUACCACUCAGUCCAGUCUUCAAAACUAUGAUAUUCUUGCAUAUUAUCAUCCUCACUACAACUCUCUCUCCCCAUCACAGAGCGUCACGCUUACAAAGAUGCUGCUCAGGGUGCAUGACGCAGCAGCAGGCAGAGGUAGAAGUAGAAAUGAUUAUGUAAUGCAGAAGAUGACACACAAAUAUUAUUUAUGACCUUGAUUCGGCACAACGACUUCUAAACAUUACCAGACAAAAAUGAAGCUGUUGUCGACGCUAGUGAUGUACAGCUGGCGUAUAGAACAGCAGCAAUAGAAGCAGAAACAGCAACAACAACAACAACAACAAUAUUUCAGUAAUUCAUGUAAAGGGUUGCUACUGUCCUGGAGCAGAAUAUGACCUUGAAUGUGCUCAGGAAGUGUCACCAGUUGCAGGGCAUGGGAUCCGUCUCGGUGCUGGCUGCGAGGUCAGUGGGUCUGUGCUUGCCUGGUAAAUAAGUAAGUGGUCUUUCCUUUACAUGUUGCCUACAUUCCUUUUUAUGUACGGAAACAUUCACGUAAUUGCAUAUCGAGAAUUUGCAGAGUUGAUGAUGUAUACGCUGAUAUUUUGUCUGGUUGUACGGGCCAGUCAUGGCAUGGUACUAAUAGUGGUGUGAACUGCGACGAGAAGAAAUAAUAAUGUCCCGUGCUAUCCCUAAAUAAACAGACAUAUAUAUACAGGUUUAAAAUUAGCUUUACUGUAGAGACCAACACGAAGAUAGUUUUAUUAAUUUUUCGUGAUUGUUUUCUUUGCUUAAACGUACCCAUCAUUAUACGCAAACGCGAGAAACGAGCUUGAGAGGUUGGGCAUCCUGCAGGAAAAUUAUGGGUUUACCUAGACGCAGGACCCCGUCUGUGUGUGCGUCGGGGCCUGGAGGUGGUGAGGUAGAGGACGGCAGCUUGUUGUGGUGGUGCAGAGGUGAUCUCACCAGCCCUCCUUCCCUGCCCUCCCGUCCCUCCUACUCUCCCUUAUGACCUUCGUCUUAAAAUGAAAUUCUGACCUUGUCUUCUGGGUAUAGUUGCUUCCUAUGUUUAUGAUGUUUAGACCAAGUAUACAAACGCA